rnacentral:lncRNA from 1 species
AACAUGGCACUGGUUCCAGUAAACUAAAAAAAGGUGGUAGCAAAAAACAUGCAAAUUGGGCGUUGUUCCAGCAAAAUAAAAAACGCCGGUGGUAGCAAAAAAUAAAGUUCGUUCUAGCAAACUAAAACGCUGUCGGUAGCAAAAAUUACAAAAAUUGGGGCUUGUUUCAGCAUACCCAAAAACCAGUGGUAGCAAAAAAUUGUGCUGGUUCCAGCAAAAAAAUAAACGACGGUAGCAAAAAAAUGCAAAAUUGGGUAGUGGUUGCAGCUUUCCCCGGCAGUGGUUGCAACUUUCGGCGCCGCGGGUUCCAGCUAUGUAGAGGUGGUUGCAGCUUUCGACAUGGAAGGUCACCAUGGCCGGCCUCGGAUAGCUCCACAGCGGUGGCACCGGUUGUAGCUGGGGGCUAAGCCGGUUACAACAUCACGCGAACUGGUUGUAGCAGAGGUGUUGUGCCACUCGGCCUCCAUGUCUCAAUGUCUGGCCACUAAAUAAAACAACGUUGGUGAGACUAUUUCCAUCAACACACAGUAAGCUCGUAGGUUAGGCAACAUGAAGCUCGCAUUGCACCAAAUCAUGUUGCCGAAUGGAAAAAUCUGAAUCAAUAAAUAGAAUUCACGGGUUAGGUUUCCCCAUCAGGAAAAAAUGAGAUGAUUUAUAUGUGAAAGAAUGACUUCGGUAAUAUUUCAUCAAUGAAACAUGAAUGGAUCUAGCAAUUCAAUCCACUGGGUACAGAACAAAUGGCAAUUCAAUCCAGUGGGUACAGAACAAAUGCAUACAUGAAAGCAAUACAUGAUACGCGGAUGCAACUGAGUAUAAUAAAGUGUGUUUUCGCAUUAACUUGUUCCACUCUUUUAAGCCACUGUUUGAUGAUGCAAUGCACCAAUGUGCAAUAUGUUCUGCUUCUCUAGCAAUAAGCCAAUAUACAAUUAGCUUUUCAUAAGCAAUACAUGUCUAAUUCAUGACUUCCUCAGACACAAAUCAGCGAGAAAUCUACACAAACUAAUUCAAAAUUCAGAAAAGAGGCUUGAGCUUCAGCUAUUUGCCUGUAUAUCGAAGUGGUAGUAACAAUUGCUCUGUAGAAGAAACAGUUGACAUAAUUCAGUUAUAAAAAUGACAUGAUCAAGAGUUCUGUUAGAAAUUCUUCAAGGCAUAUGAACCAAAUUGACUACUGUUUCAACCAUUCAACCGACUGUUGCCGCCAUUUUCUGAACUUAAUCAUGGAAAGUGGCUGCAGAGAGAUAAAAUCACAAAAUAAUCACAUGGACAAAGAAAAACUAUAUGCAGUGUUGUACAAGUCUUUAGGAGAGGAGGCUGCAUAAGAUGAGGCAUGUCUCCUUGUGCCUUUCCAGAGAAAAAAAGGAAGGGUAUGUGAACACGCCACCAUGGAUCCAGGGCUGAGGGGAGGAGGCUGCGUGGAGAGAGAGACUAUGAAGCUCACCUCGAUGUUGGCAGCGGAUGCGGUCGCCGUUACUCGACGCGUGUGCAACUCCCCAGCUGCGCCCUUGGCCUUGACCGCCGCGCCCGUCGUGUGCCGAGCGCGCUGCACCCCUAUCGCCGACCUCCUCCCUCUUCCCUGCAGCUUCACCACAUCGCGACGAGCCGACUGUUGCCUGCCCUCAUCGCCCACCUCCCCUGCCCAUUCAUCCCACCACCGAGCUCGCCUAACCCGCGCCAGAUCUGGAGCCAGGCCUCGCUGACGCGUGCAGACAACGAAGAAAAGGAAGCUGAAGUGGAGGGGCUAGCGUGGUGGAUAAGUAGCAACGGUGGUGGAGGAGGAAUAGUAGGCGGAGGCGGCGGCGAGGCGUGGAGGAGGGAUGGAGGAGGCGAGAGAGGCUGUGGGGAUCCAGGGGAAAGGGGGCUAUGGUUUGGGUGGUGGCUGGCGCGGGAGUGGGAUGAGGCGAGGAUGGAUUGGUUGCGGGAUGCGGGGUACGGAUUGGCCAAAACCUCAUGCACA